CGCACCUUCGCACUGUUUCGACGUGAGUGCGCAGUGCUGGUGGCGUGUGUGCGCGUCGUGUUCGAGCUGCGACGGCGCCCGUAUUUCUGUUUGUGCCUUCGCCGUUUUGCGACGCACCUUCUCACUGUUUCGACGUGAGUGCGCAGUGCUGGUGGCGUGUGUGGGCGUCGUGUUCGAGCUGAGACGGCGCCCGUAUUUCUGUUUGUGCCUUCGCAGUUUUGCGACGAACCUUCGCACUGUUUCAACGUGUGUGUGCAGUGGUGGUGGCGUGUGUGCGCGUUGUGUUGGAGCUGUGACGGUGCCAGUAUUUGUGUUUGUGCCUGCGUUUGGUUUUUCUCAGCGGUGCGUGGCCGGGUGUGAGAAUGGCGACUAUCUCAACAGACGAGCUUCUUAUCGACGAAGUGCGUCAGAGGCCCAUUUUGUACGACCAGCGCCUCAAGACACACCGCGACAGUCAACUGCGGAAUGACGCCUGGCUGGAAAUAUCCGGCGUUCUGAAACGUGACGGUAAUCGCAGAGAUCCAACAUCGAUGGGCCUACCUGAGGCAGAAAUUCUUACGACAAAGAAAAAUCCACAGCAAGUCGGGAAGUGGCGCAGGAGAUGUUGGAAAACAGUGGGUCCUGAUGCCGCACCUGAUGUUCUUGGCAGAUGCGAUUCAAUGUAGAAGAACCAUUUCCAGUAUGGAAGCCGCUCCAAGCCUUGGUCCUGUACAGCCUGCUUUACCAUCGUGCCCACCUGAAUCUGAUGCUGAUAACACACUCACAACAGUUGAAGACAUUUGCAGCUCAUUUUUUGUGGACAGUGCUGUGGAAAGCUGCUAAGACGAUGCCCUGGAUAAGCCAGCUCAAAACUAGGCUCUCCCUUCAGACGAGACGCUAAAUAAACAGAUAUGUAACGAUAGACCAACAGCCUCUCCACAGGCAAAACGAGGAAAUUCCAAGAAAAAUAAACGAAGGGAUCGCGACAUUGAUGAAUUGAUGAUGAGUACACUCAUUGAGAAUCGCAAACGCCUUCACCAACUGAACUCUUCAGUGGAGGUUGAUGCAGAUGAAUUAUUUCUUUUGAGUCUGAAGCCAAUGUUGGCUAAGAUCAAUGAGAAACACAGAGCAAUCUUGAAACUCAAGAUGCAUGAAAUGCUUGUUGAGGCUGCGUUUCCCUCAAGUACUGAAUCAACUACCUCAAGGUUGCACUAUUCUGCCACUUAAUCUCUUUGUGAUAUAGUAAAUGUGUACACGAGGCUGGCAUCUCGCUUUCAGUGGUUUUGUUAAGUUUUAUAUAAAACUAUGCUGCAAAUUAUUGUAUCACUCAUGUUUGUAACAUAUUGAUUGUGUGUUGUAUGCUACUAAUGACGGCACCUCGUUUUUAGGGAUAUCUUAAGGGUUUGUAUCUUUUAUGUUUAGUGUGAAAGCUAACACUGUCAGUCAUGCUUUGUGGGAGCUCACAUGUGUAUUGAGUGAGGUGGGCAACAUAAAGGCUGUUGCUAGCUUUUACAAGAUAAAUGUGCAAUAAAGUUUUACAGAAAUAAUUCAUUUCUCUUUUUUUGCAACAGUGAAAUGGCUGAACUCCUAUCAGCCACAGAACCUUAGCUUGGCGUUGCUGACAAAAGAAAAAAAUGAAGUUGGAGCAGGCUCAAACUCUUACUUCCACUGCCACGGGACAGCGCCAGACCCAUGGAAAUAGCUAGCAUAGCCGUCCCGCACAUCUGCUGCUCUUCGGGAAUGUGUAUUUGAACCCUGCCGAAGAACUUGAGGUAAUUGUUCAACAGUGUUUCUCCAGCCACCUGUGACAAUUCCUCCUGAGCUAUCAACAGUGUCGGCAAAGUUAAAUGGACAAUAACUGCCAGCAUGCUUUCCUUCUUUCAUGAGAUAAUUGUGAAGACAUCAGCAAGCAGAGACAGCUGAAAUUGCAUUGUCAGGUACAAGGCCCAUUCUGUUUCUCAGCACUCUCCAACGAGCACACAUAAUUCCGAAUGUGUUCUCAAUGCAUCGACGUGCCCUCGAAAGCCUGUAGUUAUUAACCCUUCUGGCGUGCCUGCUGCAUGCAUGCCAGGGUAAGGCUUCAUUAAGUUCGCCUUGAGAGGAAAUGCAUCGUCAGCAACAAACACGUAUGGAAGCUCUGGUCCACCAUAUGGAAGGUCUGUAGGAGCAGGGAAGUUUUUGUCAGCGUCAUCGACAAACCUGCCCAACAGCGAUUUUGAAAAAACGCCACCGUCACUUUCCCGGCCGUAGCAUCCGAUGUAGACGGAGGUAAGCUUGUAGCUCGCGUCACACGAGCCCAUUAAGUUUACACUGAAACCUUGCUUGUAAUUGAAAUACAAGCUUCCGGAGUUGGGUGGUGCAUUGAGAUGAAUGUGCUUUCCGUCUAUAGCUCCGACACAGUUUGGGAAAUUCCAUCUAUGUAAAAACUCUUCAGCUAUGGCAUGAAGGUGCUCGCGAGCGAGCGGUGGAAACACUCGGUGCCGCAGCGCUUUCCAUAUGGCUUGACAAACUUUGGGAACCAGCUGUGAUACCGUGGACUUUCCCACUCUGAAACUGUAGGACAAAGACUGGUAGC